GUUGGUUAGGUCAGACGCAAUGAUCAUUGGAAGGAUAUCAUUGGAUCCAAGAAAUGAAUAUUUCAGCAUGGUAGGAAGAGGCUUUAGCUCUAGAGUAGGUGGUGCUUCUAAGGAUGGUACCCGAGGGCUUGAUUGAAUUGAUAAUUGCUCGUACUUUACAGUUCAAGGGGGAUUGGUGCUAAAAUUGGGAGGUUCUAGCAAAGCAUAUAUUUCUUCAGUGUAUCCAUCAAUAUCAAAAUUAUCCAUUCCAAAAUGUGUU
rnacentral:lncRNA from 1 species